CCUACGGUGGGCUGCAGUGGGGAAUAUUGGACAAUGGGCGAAAGCCUGAUCCAGCCAUGCCGCGUGUGUGAAGAAGGCCUUCGGGUUGUAAAGCACUUUCAGUGGGGAAGAAAGCCUUGGGGCUAAUACCCUCGAGGAAGGACAUCACCCACAGAAGAAGCACCGGCUAACUCCGUGCCAGCAGCCGCGGUAAUACGGAGGGUGCGAGCGUUAAUCGGAAUUACUGGGCGUAAAGCGCGCGUAGGCGGUCUGAUAAGCCGGUUGUGAAAGCCCCGGGCUCAACCUGGGAAUGGCAUCCGGAACUGUCAGGCUAGAGUGCAGGAGAGGAAGGUAGAAUUCCCGGUGUAGCGGUGAAAUGCGUAGAGAUCGGGAGGAAUACCAGUGGCGAAGGCGGCCUUCUGGACUGACACUGACGCUGAGGUGCGAAAGCGUGGGUAGCAAACAGGAUUAGAUACCCGUGUAGUC
rnacentral:rRNA from 1 species